CAAGUCCCGAAGGCCCACGGGUCGUGAACUUCUUUUCCCGGAGAAGAAGCAAUGACGGUAUCCGGGGAAUAAGCAUCGGCUAACUCUGUGCCAGCAGCCGCGGUAAGACAGAGGAUGC
rnacentral:ncRNA from 1 species